GGGCUUCGGGAUCCGCCCGGCUCGGGGUAACAGCGGCCGUCGGGGCGAUGGUAGCAGCCACAGAACCCCUGCUCCGCUCGGCGGGCCGAACAGAGCCCCCUCCGGUCCAGUAUCACCGCCCUCGGGUCGGGUACCGCUGCUCAGCCGGCUCCUCCAUUGUGCCAGUCGGCCCUUGGACGCGCUUGCUCCCGUCUGGGAAGCUGCUGUAGAAAAGGCUCUGGAGCCCCCACAAUACGAUGGACAUGGUGCUGCUGGAGCGAGUCCAGAGGAGGCCACAGAGAUGGAGAAACGGCAGGCUGGAAUCCAGCCCACAGUAAGUGAGUUUUAAAUAUUUGGUACAUUUCCUAUGGCAGAUCAUCCUAGCCAACACCUUCUGUAGUAAGAGCAAGGAGCUCAUUUAGUCCAGAGAGAGCUACCUGGAGCCCAUGAGGCAGGUGAUAAAGAGAACAGCCACAGCAAACCUCCAUGUUCACAUCCCCUGCACGUCAGCCAUUCCACACAGCACACAAGCAUGUCUGUGGGUGAGGAUGGACUAAAGGACGUUUGCCAGAAGACAUCUCUAUGCACCUCUCAACAUAAGUAUAAUCUGUGCUGCCAUCAGGAGGUGGGACUUGCAUGUUCCACAGUGACAACAUAAAUCAGUGGUCAUGUCUCUUCUGAAGACAGAGGAAGAGCAGCAGAAGGCCUCUGAGCUCACUAUCUGCUUGCUCCUUGUCUUGGGUCUUCCUGGGCUCUCUCUACAUGGUCCUAGUUGAUCUCAGGAGAAAUACACAAGUGGAUUCUAUCCUCAUCUCAGGAACCUGUGUGUAGGUAGCACAUGGUUUACUACAGAUGUUUUAGCAAAUAAUAAUGAUGU